UUCUUUUCUUUAAACAAAAUUCUCCUUCCCUAUUUUCCCCAGCUUUCCAGCGGCCUUUGAAGUGCUCCUGUUUAUAAACUUACUUGAUUUCGUCUUUCAUUGCAUCUCUUUUGUCUCUUAACCUAAUUUGUUUUAAAAUAAGACAUAGCCCAGCCCUCGCUGUGGUUGUAUUUACAGAGCAGCCAAAGGGCUCUAAAACAGGCUAAUUUCAGUGAAACGCCUUCUGUCCCUCCUCCAAACCAAGGCUGCCUUCAAGAGCUUUGCCUCUCAGGACCCUGUGUGCUCAGAGCCAGAGUGACCACGCAGGGCAUGUUUUAACCUGAAGCUUUUCAUCCGUGUCCUUAGUUGGGGUUGUUUCCAAACCGCGGCCGUUUACUCCUGGUUUGGUCCCCGGUACAGGAUGGCCGGGUUGUUGGGAAGGCGCCUGUCCGCUCGCUGGCUAUUGAAGACAAGAGCUCUCUCCCUGCUCGGGUCGCUCCUCAGGAUUCCUAAAGGUGUAACCGGCACCACCGGGAUGAGCCCCCGCGGACCCCCUGCCCCGAGGGCACCGGCCCUGCCCGGGGAUGCGGAGCCCCCUCCGAGGAGCCCCCGCACCCCCCGCACCGCGGCUCGGCCACCGCACAAACCACGCACCCGGAGCUUUCCGUCUUAUUUUGUUUUUCUUUCGUAAAAAUGUUUAUUUAAACUUUUUUUUUUUAAUUUUUUUUUCUCCUUUUACAACAAUAAAAUAUUGCGUCAAUAUAAACCCCUUGACUAAAACUGGUCGACAACCAAACGUUA